AACGAACGCUGGCGGCAUGCCUAACACAUGCAAGUCGAACGAGACCUUCGGGUCUAGUGGCGCACGGGUGCGUAACGCGUGGGAACCUGCCCUUAGGUUCGGAAUAACUCCCCGAAAGGGGUGCUAAUACCGGAUAAUGUCUUCGGACCAAAGAUUUAUCGCCUUUGGAUGGGCCCGCGUUGGAUUAGCUAGUUGGUAGGGUAAAAGCCUACCAAGGCGACGAUCCAUAGCUGGUCUGAGAGGAUGAGCAGCCACACUGGGACUGCGACACGGCCCAGACUCCUACGGGAGGCAGGAGUGGGGAAUAUUGGACAGUGGGCGAAAGGCUGAUCCAGCAAUGCCGCGUGAGUGAUGAAGGCCGUAGGGUUGUAAAGCUCUUUUACCCGGGAUGAUAAUGACAGUACCGGGAGAAUAAGCUCCGGCUAACUCCGUG
rnacentral:rRNA from 1 species